UUUUUUUCUUUCUCUAUUUUUAAUUUGCAGUUUAUAUUCCAAUUUUUUUCUGUUUUGAAGUUUUCUAUUUCGCUUAUUAGUUUUUCCACUCAUGUUUUUAAUUUUUGUUCUUUAUUUUUUUAUUUGGCUGCUUCUGUUUAUUAAAUUGUCUCUGUUUCUUUGUUUCUGUUUUCAACCUUUUAAUUUAUUGUUUCUAUUUAAGAUAUUCAACAAUACAAAAAUGGGAUACAUUUCGAGUCAUAUUGUAAGCAGUCACUA
rnacentral:lncRNA from 1 species